rnacentral:rRNA from 1 species
UACGGGGGGAGCAAGCGUUGCUCGGAAUUACUGGGCGUAAAGGGCGCGUAGGCGGGAUGGCAAGUCGGUCGUGAAAUCCUUCGGCUCAACCGAAGAACGUCGAUCGAUACUGCUGUUCUUGAGGGUUGCAGAGGAGACUGGAAUUCCCGGUGUAGCGGUGAAAUGUGUAGAGAUCGAGAGGAACACCUGCGGCGAAGGCGGGUUGCUGGGCUGACACUGACGCUGAGUGAGCGAAAGCCAGGGGAGCAAACGGG